rnacentral:rRNA from 1 species
UGGGGAAUAUUGCACAAUGGGCGGAAGCCUGAUGCAGCGACGCCGCGUGAGGGAUGACGGCCUUCGGGUUGUAAACCUCUUUCAGCAGGGACGAAGCGCAAGUGACGGUACCUGCAGAAGAAGCGCCGGCCAACUACGUGCCAGCAGCCGCGGUAAGACAGAGGAGCCAAGCGUUGUCCGGAUUGACUGGGCGUAAAGCGCACGCAGGCGGCCCAAUACGUGGGGUGUGAAAGCUGGCGGCUUAACUGCCAGAUGCCAUCCCAUACGGCUGGGCUCGAGCCCUGCAGAGGUCCAUGGAAUUGCCGGUGUAGUGGUGAAAUGCGUAGAGAUCGGCAGGAACACCCAGGGGGAAACCAGUGGACUGGGCAGGAGCUGACGCUCAGGUGCGAAAGCGUGGGGAGCGAAC